ACACAAUUGUUACCCAAAAAUCUCAUAUAUGCUCUGAUAACCCUUUGUCCCUGUGGAAUACAAUCCUGGACUUAUCCUUGAUACAACUUGACACUUCUACACUUGGAAGCACAUUCGAAACCGAGUCAAUUAUGCUAACUGAUGAUAUCAUACAGGAUACGUAAUACGGUGUAUGUACGUGGUACGAUUGGAACGGGUCACUUUUUGCAACUGCACUCCAUCUUUCCUUGGCAUGCUCGUAUGUUCGACGAGAGUUGGGAUUGUGUGAUGAUGUACAAACUAGUGUAUGUGUCAUCAUGCAGAAAUUCACAGGAGGCUGAACGAACAGUUCCCCGUGAUCGCGCUUGAGGUUUUAUAAGAAACGCGGAGAUCGAGAUCUUGUUACAGGA